UUGGACCUGAUAUCAGGCAAGAUUACCCGCUGAACUUAAGCAUAUCAAUAAGGCGAGAGGAAAUA
rnacentral:rRNA from 1 species